UACGUAGGGUGCAAGCGUUAUCCGGAAUUAUUGGGCGUAAAGAGCUCGUAGGCGGUUUGUCGCGUCUGCUGUGAAAAACUGGAGGCUCAACCUCCAGCCUGCAGUGGGUACGGGCAGACUAGAGUGCGGUAGGGGAGAUUGGAAUUCCUGGUGUAGCGGUGGAAUGCGCAGAUAUCAGGAGGAACACCAAUGGCGAAGGCAGAUCUCUGGGCCGUAACUGACGCUGAGGAGCGAAAGCAUGGGGAGCGAACAGG
rnacentral:rRNA from 1 species